AUGAGAGAAAGAGAGAUUGAUUUGCUAGUGCAAGUAUCUAAUGAGCCAGAUGCCAGCUGGUUUGAUCUUUUCAGCAAACGCUAUUGGGAAGUUGUGUGUGGGGAGCGACACUGUUUUUGUUUCAGUAACUUGCUGGCACAAAUGCUGUCGUGUACUACUCUACGUCCAUGUUCCACAGUACAUGCAUUGCAUCUAAUGUUGCAGCGAGUGCUCUUGUUCGGUGAUGCCAAUGUUUUUGGCACCAUGAUUGCAUCUCCACUGAUGGUCAAGCAAGGAAGGAAGAGCCUUCUCAUAACAAGAUUAUCUGGAAUGGUGCGUCGAUGUUACUCUUGA
rnacentral:rRNA from 1 species